AUUUGUGCUUAUAGUGUUUUGCAGCCUCUCGUUCGUGUUAUUUUGGUGAUGUUUUUGUAUAGUUAAUUUACAAUAUCACUUUGUGGGUGUUUUGUUUCCCUUACUAUAUAACGGUGUGAUAUCCCUUUUUUUUUUGUUGCUUUUAUGAUUUUUGUUUGAUUAUAUUUGUUAUAUGUCCUGAGCCGGGGGUCUAUCAGAAACAACCUCUCUACUUCAGAUGCGGUAGUGGUAUGGACCGCGUACACUUUACCCUCCCUAGGCCCCACUUUGUGGGAAUACACUGGGGUUAAAAUUCAUUGAUAGCAUAAAAACUGCAGAUGUAUAAAAAGUAUUUACACAAUCAGCUCAUUCAUGAGGUAAUUAUAGGUAAAUCUCUUGACAAGGAUUAAUUGAUCAAUGAUUAUCUUAUAGAAAAUGAUAAUUAUUCUAAUAUCAUAGGUUAAAAUUCAUUGGUUUUGUAAAAACUAGUCUAGAUCAUUUGGUGCUUCAUGUGUAAAAGUACCGGCGAAAGUGUAAAUCAUCUUCUUUUUUUUGGAUAACCGUGGUGUCCGGGCCAGCUUUUGCACACCUCGGCUAAAUCCACGGUAUACUUGCCACCUCCCACCAACAACAAAUACCAGGCAACUAUGCCACCAAGGCUAGGACAGAUGGACGAAUCACCUUCAUGUUAAUUGUAAGGUGGCUAGUCGGUUAUGGAGGUGGCCCUAAAUUUGUUUAGGACACAAUGAGUCAUGUCAGGCAUAGUGAAGGAGGCUUUGCAAAGUUGGACUCUUAAAAGAGGGAAGGAAAGCACGAAAGCAUGGAGCAUUGCAACCUUGGUAGUCAUGUGCGUCAUUUGGAAAGAGAGGAAUAGGAAGGCUUUUGAAGGGGUUGAACUUGAUUUCGUAAAGUUAAAGAGUAGUGUUUUGUACAUAGUUUACUUUUGGUGUACUUUCGAUGUCCCAAUUUGUAUAGAGGACUGGACCUCUUUUGUUGAGAACCAUAUUUUGGUAUGUGUUCUCUUCUUUUGGCAUAUGUAUACGGGGUUUCCCCAAACCGUUAAUAAAAUUGUUUACCUUAUCAAAAAAUAAAAAUAAAAAUAACUUAAGUGCUU